CCCUCUUCUACUGAGUUUUCAAAACUCACCGAGGCAGAGAGAAGACAAGAGAAUGGUGUAGCUGUCGUUGCAGUCGCCGUUUCAGCCGUCGAUUCCAUCGCCGUUGUUGCCACAGUUGUCGCAGGAAGCUUCUCAAUCGAGCCGCAGUAGUUGCCCCGGUCGAAAGCUUCUGAAUCGAGCCACUGUUUUAGAUCUGUUUUCUCCUUCGAGCUACCGCUGGUAUUCUUCUUCUUCUUCUUCUCCAUAUUUCACUUGUCUCUGUCUCUCUGCUUCUUUGAAGUUCCAAUUGAGAUUGUUCUGUUCUUCUUGAAUGGUGAGUCCCACCUUAGUCACGAAGAACCCCCUUCCGUAUCUUGCUCGUUAUCCUGAAGCAGAUGUAUUGACGUCUAGCGAUCAAGUUAUACCAACAGUUGUUGAUGAUAUCUGGAAGUUUGGCAAGAAGAAUUUCAGGUUUUUAUGAUGGGCGAGUCAGGAACAUCAAGAAGAAUGGAAACGUGUUCCCUAAGAAUGGAAAAGGUACGAUCCCCAACAAGCUUCAGAAUGUUCUUAAGGUCCAUAUUACUAAUGCUAAAAUCUGGAAUGCAUAGGAUCCAAGUAUCAAGGAACUGGCUGAACAGAUCAGCUUGAGGAGAGAAUGGCACGCAUAAAAAAAGAUCCAUCUUUGAAGCAUAUUUUAGAUGAGAUAGAGACUGGUGGCCCUGCUGUUAAGAUGAGGUUUAGAUGGCAAAAUUUCUUAUCAUUUUGGCCAUUUUAAAAUUUCUAUCAGUUCAAUGUUUUCCAAAUUUUAAAUAGUUUCUGAAGUGUUUCAGGUUGUUUGUGCAGUUUGUGACACUGAGCAGCCGAUAGGGAAACAACUGUUUCAUUGUGAUGAUUGCGGAAUCUGUAGGGUCGGUGGUCAAGAGAAUUAUCUCCACUGCGAGAAGUGUGGGUCUUACUAUUCAGUUACACUACGUGACAAUCAUUUUGUGGAGAACUUCAUGGGCAUGUGCAUUACUGAUGCUGCUGUUAUUGCAAUUAUGUAGUUAGAUGAUAUGUUUGGAACUAUUGACAUUGAGUACUUUUAUAUAUAUAGAGAAAGAGUUGUCUUAUAUUGAGAAA